AUAAGACCUCAAAUCAGGUAGGACUACCCGCUGAACUUAAGCAUAUCAAUUAGCCCAGGA
rnacentral:rRNA from 1 species